AGUGACUUAUGAUAAUCUCA
rnacentral:snRNA from 1 species